rnacentral:miRNA from 1 species
AUAAAGCCAGUGAGCAGCAAGUU